rnacentral:rRNA from 1 species
ACACAUGCAGUCGACGGUAACAGGUCUUCGGAUGCUGACGAGUGGCGAACGGGUGAGUAAUNCAUCGGAACGUGCCUAGUAGUGGGGGAUAACUACUCGAAAGAGUGGCUAAUACCGCAUGAGAUCUACGGAUGAAAGCAGGGGAUCGCAAGACCUUGUGCUACUAGAGCGGCCGAUGGNNGAUUAGGUAGUUGGUGAGAUAAAAGCUUACCAAGCCGACGAUCUGUAGCUGGUCUGAGAGGACGAUCAGCCACACUGGGACUGAGACACGGCCCAGACUCCUACGGGAGGCAGCAGUGGGGAAUUUUGGACAAUGGGCGCA